CCUACGGGAGGCUGCAGUGAGGAAUAUUGGUCAAUGGACGGAAGUCUGAACCAGCCAUGCCGCGUGCAGGAAGACGGCUCUAUGAGUUGUAAACUGCUUUUGUACAAGGGUAAACCUGAAUACGUGUAUUCAGCUGAAAGUACUGUACGAAUAAGGAUCGGCUAACUCCGUGCCAGCAGCCGCGGUAAUACGGAGGAUCCAAGCGUUAUCCGGAUUUAUUGGGUUUAAAGGGUGCGUAGGCGGAUUGAUAAGUUAGAGGUGAAAUGUCCGAGCUUAACUCGGGAACUGCCUCUAAUACUGUUGAUCUAGAGAGUAGAUGCGGUAGGCGGAAUGUAUGGUGUAGCGGGGAAAUGCUUAGAGAUCAUACAGAACACCGAUUGCGAAGGCAGCUUACCAAUCUAUAUCUGACGUUGAGGCACGAAAGCGUGGGGAGCAAACAGGAUUAGAUACCCGAGUAGUC
rnacentral:rRNA from 1 species